AUUUAGUUGUCCCUUGAGCAGAGGAGCGCAAGUCAAGAAGGAUUUCAGGGGUAUUGUUCCAUUUCAAUUUACCAGGUUUUUCCUCAUUCAUGAGAUGUGAGCCUCAACUGAUUUGUAACCGGUUGUGAAACAGUAAUCACUUGUAUUGCUGCCAGAAAGUUCUCUGCAGGAUAAAAGAAUUCUUUGGACUCCUCGAAGAAUAACUUCCAGCGAGCCCAAGCAGACACUCGUUUGGACGCAGUGAAGAAGGGCGUUGAGUGAAACUUGGCCUUUCCACAUUCCUUCUGUUUUGGGGUGAGAGGAGAA